rnacentral:rRNA from 1 species
ACCUACGGGGCGCAGCAGUAGGGAAUCUUCCACAAUGGACGAAAGUCUGAUGGAGCAACGCCGCGUGAGUGAAGAAGGGUUUCGGCUCGUAAAGCUCUGUUGGUAGUGAAGAAAGAUAGAGGUAGUAACUGGCCUUUAUUUGACGGUAAUUACUUAGAAAGUCACGGCUAACUACGUGCCCGCAGCCGCUGUAAUACGUAGGUGGCAAGCGGUGUCCGGAUUUAUUGGGCGUAAAGCGAGUGCACGCGGGUCCAUAAGACUGAU